rnacentral:rRNA from 1 species
UACGGGGGGAGCAAGCGUUGUUCGGAUUUACUGGGCGUAAAGUGUGCGCAGGCGGCCGCGCAAGUCGAGUGUGAAAGCCCCGGGCUUAACUUGGGAAUUGCGCUCGAAACUACGUGGCUGGAGUGUGGCAGAGGAAGGUGGAAUUCCACGUGUAGCGGUGAAAUGCGUAGAGAUGUGGAGGAACACCAAUGGCGAAGGCAGCCUUCUGGGCCAACACUGACGCUCAUGCACGAAAGCGUGGGGAGCAAACAGG